GGGGAAUCUUGCGCAAUGGGCGAAAGCCUGACGCAGCCAUGCCGCGUGAAUGAUGAAGGUCUUAGGAUUGUAAAAUUCUUUCACCGGGGACGAUAAUGACGGUACCCGGAGAAGAAGCCCCGGCUAACUUCGUGCCAGCAGCCGCGGUAAUACGAAGGGGGCUAGCGUUGCUCGGAAUUACUGGGCGUAAAGGGCGCGUAGGCGGAUCGUUAAGUCAGAGGUGAAAUCCCGGAGCUCAACUUCGGAACUGCCUUUGAUACUGGCGAUCUUGAGUGUGAGAGAGGUAUGUGGAACUCCGAGUGUAGAGGUGAAAUUCGUAGAUAUUCGGAAGAACACCAGUGGCGAAGGCGACAUACUGGCUCAUUACUGACGCUGAGGCGCGAAAGCGUGGGGAGCAAAC
rnacentral:rRNA from 1 species